GCACACGGUCUAGUGGUAGCAAUAAAUUCAUUAUAAUGUAGGCUUCCUGCAGACUGUUUGGCAAUAUGGUAAAAAUGGAAAAUCCUGUCGGUUACAAAAUAACUGAUGCUGGAUGAAUACAUUUCCUCCUCCUUUUACUUCUUUCUUCCCCCUCUUUGCCUUUGCCUCCUUCCGUCAUUCUCCUCCUCCUCUUGUUUUCCCCUCUCCUUCUUCCCUUUCCCUCUCCCUUUUUUCCCUCCUCUUUUCCCCCCAGUGCAGCUGAGCUCAGGAGAAAUGAAGAUCAAUCUCGGGACAAAAACUGAAUGAGCUGAAGACCAGAAUGACAAGCAAAACUGCAGAUGCUCUGAGCAUAUUUGUCUGCAUGAGGAACCCGAAGCGACUGGAUGAGAAAAACUAAGGGACACUGUAACUUGACCAAAAUCCCAUAUUUGGAGUGUGGCUGAGAUAGAAUUAAUUGAAGGAAUUUUCCAAUUGGAACGAAUGCCAGGAUGAAUUGCUUGGCCUUCUGUAACACCUUUCAUGUAAAGGUCUUCAUGUGCAUUGCAGACACAAGCUCAUUAGCUUCCUGACAGCCUUGGGAGACAGG